rnacentral:rRNA from 1 species
AAAUAUAUUAGUUGAGUUUGAUGAUGGCUCUGAAUGAACGCUGUCCAAAUGCUUGACACAUGCUAAUCGAACGACUAGUUUUAUAAUUUAACUAGUAGUGGUGUACAGGUGAGUAUAAGAUAACACGACCGCCUUGGAGUAAGGAGAAAGAUCCCUUAUAUUAAUAAAGAAACUUAGGUUUUGCUCUUAGAAGUGUGUAUCUCGUGUAAUUGUAGUAGUUAAGGUAAAAGCUCAACUAGCUUUAAGCACGUAGUCGAAACUGAGAGGUUGAUCGAUCACAGUGGGCCUGAACAAAGCCCACGAUGAGAAUUACAGCAGUGAGGAAUCUUGGUCAAUAGCCUAACGGCUGAACCAGCAACUUGGAGGAAUGUAUAGCAAUAGCUAAUUGCACUAACAAACAGUUGGUGCAAUAUCGACUAUGUCGAAUAAAGUUCUAGGUAGAAUUAUGAUAAUGACGUUGUCUGCCUAUGUGUCUUGACCAAAUUACGUGCCAGCAGUCGCGGUAAUACGUAGAAGACUAGUGUUAUUCAUCUUUAAUAGGUUUAAAGGGUACCUAGACGGUAAAUAAAGCUUUAAAAAAAAAGGGACUGAUUUACUAGAGUUACUUGUGAGGGGGUAUUAAAGUACUGCUGGUGUAGAGAUGAAAUUCUUUGAUACCUCUUUCUGUAUGGAAAAUAAUGGCACAGGUAUAGGCGAAAGCAUCCCCUUAUGAGAUAACUGACGUUGAAGGACGAAGGCUUUUUAUAGCGAACAGGAUUAGAUACCCUAAUAGUCAAAGCAGAAAAUGAUGAAUGUCAUAGAUUAGACACAUAAUAGUUUAUUCUAUAAAUGAAAGUGUAAGCAUUCCACCUCAAGAGUAAUUUGGCAACAUUGGAACUGAAAUCAUUAGACCGUUUCUGAAACCAGUAGUGAAGUAUGUUGUUUAAUUUGAUAAUCCGCAAAAAACCUUACCACAAUUUGAAUAUUUAUAUUAUUUUUUUCAUCUCAAAGAAAAGGAAAUAAUAUAUUUACAAGCGUUGCACGGCUGUCUUCAGUUAAUGUCGUGAGAUUUUGGUUAGUUCCAUUAAAUUAACGUAAACCCUUACUUUAUUUUUAUAUAAAGUAGUUCCCCACUAGAUUGGAUAAGAUAACAGGGACUAAGACAAGUCAUCAUGGCCUAAAUAUUGUGGGCUAUAGACGUGCCACAUAAACCUUACAAAAGGAUGUGAAAUUGUGAAAUUGAGCUAAUCCCCCAAAAAUGGAUAUACACUAACAAUGGAUUGUAGUCUGUAACUCGACUGCGUGAAAUAGGAAUUACUAGUAAUCGUGUAUAAGUACGGCACGGUGAAUCUAAUCUCAGAUAGGUACUAACCACUCGUCAGGCGCUGAAAGAAGUAUGUGCAAUAAGUUUGGCUAGUGUUUAUUUUCAAUUUGGGCGAUAUGGCCCAAAAACUUAGACAUGUGGUUUUCGUAUGCGUGACUUUGAUUGGUGUUAAGUCGAAAUAUGGUUCGUGUAGUGGAAAUUGCACGGGAUUAAUGAAUAUUAAAAACACCCCGUUACAAAAAAAUAAUAAAAUAACAAUAAAAUAACAAUAAAAUAACACAAUUAAACGUAAAAAAUAA